CGAAAGUAAAUUUAAUGUUUUUAACUCCGAUAGUCAAUCAUAUGCUUUCAGAAAACCAAAUGAAGAAUGUAAAGAAGACAAUUUACGGUCAACAGCUAAACAUGGAGUAGUAACUACUGGACUACCAGGAUAAGGACCCGAAACAUAAAAUUGUAAAUGUUCAACUGUGGUUUUUGGCCCACCUCCUGAAUCUCCAGACUCAAAUGUGAUCGAACAUUUGGAGGUAAAGUUGAAAAGUCACUCGAUUUCGAACACGAAAGACUUAAAUACGCCAUCAAAUACGAACGCGAACGAAUUGACCCCUCUUAUUGCAAAAUACUGGUACGUAAAGAAAUACCGAAAAGUAUUAAAAUCUAAUAAAAUUCUAUCAGAAAAAUUCAUAUAUAAGUAAAACUUUAGAAUGUCCAAAUUUCAUUUGUCAAACUUUAAUUUUUUAAAAAAUAAUGGGAUCAAAUAUUGCUUUGCUGAUUCCAUUAAUAAAAAAUUAUCUGUCA